CGGGGUAGGGAGGCCGGGGCCGCUCCCGCGGUAAACUUGACUGUGUCCUCUUCCCCCGCAGCCGCUGCAGAGGGAGCGCCGCUCCGGGGCGGAGUGCGGGCUCGCGCGGCAAGUGCGCGCCGAGGUCACGAAAUGGAUUCGAGUGAACCGGAGACCCCGAAAACGGAAGCGCAGGGAGAAAGAAGAGGUGUUUGAAAAGCUUCUUCCAGACCAGCUGGUCUUGCUUCUGGAGCAUCUCUUGGAGCAGAAGACUCUGAGCCCCCGAACUCUGCAAAGCCUCCAGAGGACAUACCACCUCCAGGAUCAGGAUGCAGAGGUUCGCCAUCGGUGGUGUGAACUCAUUGUUAAACACAAGUUCACGAAAGCCUACAAAAGUGUGGAGAGGUUCCUUCAGGAGGAUCAGGCCAUGGGUGUGUACCUCUAUGGGGAGCUGAUGGUGAGUGAGGACGCCAGACAGCAGCAGCUCGCCCGCAGGUGCUUCGAGUGGACCAAGGAGCAGAUGGAUAGGUCCUCAGCCCAGGUGGUGGCCGAAAUGUUAUUUUAACGAGGAAAGACCACAGCGAGAUUCUUUCAUUCGUCUCCUCCUAGCCUGGGGGACCAGGCUCGAACUGACCCUGGACAUCAAAGGAGGGAUUAUGUGGCUGCUAAAGCCAUCGGCCCACAGCCCUGUUCACGUCUUGGUGCUUCUCUUUCCCAGAGUCUGGUCCCAGCCAGGCACACACAAAAGGCAGAUUCUCGUAAAUGCAGCCUCCCUCCCUGGAGGCCGCCUCCUGCCGUGGAUCUGGAGUGAAGCUGCUAUGGGAUUUUGAGUUCUGCACAGAUGAUUAAAUAUAUCCAAGAGACAUUGGAAAACCUGCUGAACAUUUUACAUUGGUGUGCUCAGCACAUGGCUGGAUGUGGAUAUUUCUAUAAUUCC
rnacentral:sRNA from 1 species